rnacentral:rRNA from 1 species
AGUGAACGCUGGCGGUAGGCCUAACACAUGCAAGUCGAACGGCAGCACAGUAAGAGCUUGCUCUUACGGGUGGCGAGUGGCGGACGGGUGAGGAAUACAUCGGAAUCUACUUUUUCGUGGGGGAUAACGUAGGGAAACUUACGCUAAUACCGCAUACGACCUACGGGUGAAAGCAGGGGAUCUUCGGACCUUGCGCGAUUGAAUGAGCCGAUGUCGGAUUAGCUAGUUGGCGGGGUAAAGGCCCACCAAGGCGACGAUCCGUAGCUGGUCUGAGAGGAUGAUCAGCAACACUGGAACUGAGACACGGUCCAGACUCCUACGGGAGGCAGCAGUGGGGAAUAUGGGAAAAGGGGCGAAAGCCUGAUCCAGCCAUACCGCGUGGGUGAAGAAGGCCUUCGGGUUGUAAAGCCCUUUUGUUGGGAAAGAAAAGCAGCAGGUUAAGACCCCGCUGUUCUGACGGUACCCAAAGAAUAAGCACCGGCUAACUUCGG